GUCCGAUGGAUGACACAUCAUAUCAGAGUGCUUGUGUGAUCCUUCUUUGUACCAUCUCAUCUGUCCGAUAACAUUCUUGGAUAAGUAGAGCUUUUAAAGUCUAUGAGUGAGAAAAAGGUAUCGAAGAAUCCUAUAUGAUAUGUCCUUUUGAUUCCUACCCUCUUUUUUUGGCUUAAAUCAGCUUGCACCGCAUAUGCUGCAUGAGCUCUUUUGUUGGUCCUCUUUAUAGAAAAGCAUGUAAUAAUUACAGCAUACAUCUAUCUUCUCAUAUCCUAUGCCCAAUUCUUUUAAUAUUUUCUUCAAAUCAUAGAAGCUCCCAAUAAGCUUCUCAUCCUUCGAUAGUAUUUUUUUUAUUAUUGCUACCAUCCUAUCAUAACAAUUGACUGUCAUAUUAAACUCGGCCUUCAAAUUCAAUAAUUCUGAUACAGCUGAUAGUACAGUAUGUAUUUUACAUUCUGAUCAUAGUGGUUCAUCAGCAUCUUUCAGCAUACGAUAGAAAUCAUCGUUACCUGCUUCUAGAUUGUCCUCUACAUCUUAGUUAAAUUUAAGACCAGCUGCAUCCAUAACCAUAUCCACCAUUCUAUCUGUGUCCAUAUCCUGCUCGAUUCUAACCCUUACAACCUUCUCCUAUAUCUCUCCAUGCAGGUACCAAUGCUUAUAGUUGGGCAUAAAUCUACUCUUAUACAAAUGGACAAUAAUUGUGUCCCUAUAAAAUAUUUCUCUAUUGCCACAUCUAUUACAAGGGCAAUGAGUCCAUCCUUGAUGUAAGAGUGCUGCAUUCUCAAAAAUAAAAUCAUAGAAGUACUCUAUACUCUCUCUAUAUUCUGCAAAAAUCUCUCUAUCAAUCACUUGAUGGUCCAUCCAACUACAGUCCAUGGCAGACUAUCUAAGAAUUCUGUAUAUAUAUAAAUAUAAAGCAAUUGUUAAAUACUAUUUUAUUAUUCAAAAUAGCUUACAUAGUAAAUGCAUCCGAUUAUCAACUAAUAGGUAAAGAUAGGUCCUAUCCCAUUCAAGAAAUGCAUUAAUUCCAUAGGUUUAUUAUAGUAAUCAAACGAUACACAAUAAGAGUCAAAAAAAUUUC
rnacentral:lncRNA from 1 species